CAGCCAUUUGCCAGCGACGGCACAUUCUUCUACCGUGGUUGGUGUUUCUCACUGCUUUGAACCCCCAAGACUCCACGGACUGCGGCUGCGGUCGUUUCAUUGCCAACUGUGAGGAUGAAGCAGCUUCAUGGCCGGAGAUCGGGUGCCUCCCAUCAGUUUCCCUUUUCAGCAAUAGAGGCCUUGGAGGCCUUUCUACCUGCGUUGCAUCCUGUGGCUGGACCACUCC
rnacentral:lncRNA from 1 species